UUGUAGUUUAGCUUUAUUGGGAAUAAAAUCUUAAACGCUCUUUACGCCGGGCCCUAUUAACUUGAGUCAAUCGCAUGGCCGCGGUGGCUGGCACGAAAUUGACCAACUCUAAUGGUCAGUGUAGCCUAGUUAAACUUUCGUUCAUUGCUAAAAGUUUGUCACUGCUGUUUCCUGUGGGGGCGUGGCUAAGCAAAGUGUUUUGAGCUGCAUGUGUGCGUGCUUGAUACUCGCUCCUCAUAUUUUGGAGGAGGGCAGCCAUAGAGUCAUUCUAGGUUGGUAGAUAGUUGCUCAAUGGUUGAAACUUUACGUUUUGAGGAGAAGGCUUCUCAGAUUAUAAAAAUUAUUAGAAUAACUGCUGUUAGUGAAAUGAAUGAGCCUACAGAUGAGAUGAUAUUUUAUGUAGUAUAUGCAUCGGGAUAGUCUGAAUAUCGUCAGGGCAUUCCGGAUAGGCCGAGAAAGUGCUGUGGAAAGAAAGUUAAAUUUACACCUACAAAUAUAAUGGUAAAAUGAAUUUUAGCAUAGGUCUGGUCAAGCAUAUAACCUGAGAAUAAUGGAAAUCAGUGAAUAAAUCCCCCUAUAAUGGCAAAUACUGCUCCCAUAGAUAAAACGUAAUGGAAGUGGGCUACUACAUAGUAUGUGUCAUGCAGGACAAUACCUAAUGAUGAGUUAGCUAGUACAAUUCCUGUUAACCCGCCUACGG